UUUAAUUAAGAAAUUAUAAGGUCUGAGGAUAUUAAAGCUUAAGUAAAUUGUAAGAGUCUAACAAGUGUUUUAAGAUAUGUAAAUGCAAGUUAUAAAGGUCUAAGAAAGUGUUUUAAAGUGUGCAAAAUGCAAUUUGUAAAGGUAUAAGGAAAUGAUUUAAGAUAAAUGUAAAAAUGAAAAAUGUUUCAGAUUUCUUACCCUUUCUAUGCUACCACUGCCUUGGAGACCAGCCUCCAGUAGCAGCAACACAGAGCUCAUGAGAAUCCAUGGAGUCAGAGCAUAGUGAUGUAGUGGGUAAACAUUCCAGCUUUGAUCUGGAAGUUCCAACCCCCAUUGAGGCUUUGAUAACUGUCACACCUACAAGGUGGGUCUGAGAAAGGACCCUGAAGACCCGAGAGACCGAGGAGAGUUCUCCAGAGAACACCGCCAGACUGCGCUAUACCUUUUCCAGACCCUGUUACCUAUCCCUUCACUUGUCAAAUGGACUUCAGAUAAGUACUAUUAAUCAACAGCCUGUUUCCCCGACUUGAGUGCUCUACUUAUUCCUGAGGUAGUCUGUUUCAGCAGAUUUCAAAUCAAGUGCACACUGCUCCAGCAACUCUCCAACUCCAGGCAUUCCUUCAAAAUCUGCAUCCUAGACAGCUUCAACGUGGCUAGCCCCAGAUGGUCCUGGACACUGAGUCAAACAGCCUGCUGUUCCCAGACUUGGCCAACAUUCCAUCUUUUUGGGUCCUCAACAAUGAUGCCCCAAUGUCAACAAAUUUGUCAAUGAAGCAAAGUGGCAAGAAGUGAGAGAGGACAUAGAAAAAUGCAGAAUUAGAUAUGAACUCCUGACCAAAUACCUGAGAAGAAGCACAAGCAAAUCAAUACUCCAAACCAGAUAAGAGAGAACUGCAGAGGACUGUGGCCUCUUUUCUUCAGAUUUGGAAGUCUUGUCUCCUUUUCCAGCAUCAUGUCUGCCUGUGAGCUGCUGUGCUUACCAUCAUGAUAAUGAACUAAACCUCUGAACCU